AUUGAACGCUGGCGGCAUGCCUUACACAUGCAAGUCGAACGGUAACAGGUCUUCGGAUGCUGACGAGUGGCGAACGGGGGAGUAAUACAUCGGAACGUGCCCGAUCGUGGGGGAUAACGGAGCGAAAGCUUUGCUAAUACCGCAUACGAUCUACGGAUGAAAGCAGGGGACCGCAAGGCCUUGCGCGGACGGAGCGGCCGAUGGCGGAUUAGGUAGUUGGUGGGAUAAAAGCUUACCAAGCCGACGAUCUGUAGCUGGUCUGAGAGGACGACCAGCCACACUGGGACUGAGACACGGCCCAGACUCCUACGGGAGGCAGCAGUGGGGAAUUUUGGACAAUGGGCGAAAGCCUGAUCCAGCCAUGCCGCGUGCAGGAUGAAGGCCUUCGGGUUGUAAACUGCUUUUGUACGGAACGAAAAGACUCUUUCUAAUAAAGAGGGUCCAUGACGGUACCGUAAGAAUAAGCACCGGCUAACUACGUG
rnacentral:rRNA from 1 species